CACGUGGGUGACCUGCCCUCCACUCUGGGAUAAGCCUGGGAAACCGGGUCUAAUACCGGAUAGGACUCCUGGAUGCAUGUCUAGGGGUGGAAAGUUUUUCGGUGGGGGAUGGGCCCGCGGUCUAUCAGCUUGUUGGUGGGGUGAUGGCCUACCAAGGCGACGACGGAUAGCCGGCCUGAGAGGGUGAUCGGCCACACUGGGACUGAGACACGGCCCAGACUCCUACGGGAGGCAGCAGUGGGGAAUCUUGCGCAAUGGGCGGAAGCCUGACGCAGCAACGCCGCGUGGGGGAUGACGGCCUUCGGGUUGUAAACCUCUUUCGCGAUCGACGAAGGUCCGCUUUCUGUGGGCUGACGGUAGGUCGAGAAGAAGCACCGGCCAACUACGUG
rnacentral:rRNA from 1 species